AUAAGACAUUGACUCUGGCAUAGAAACCCCAAUCUCUUUCUUUGAAUAAAUCAUUUAAUACGACGUCAGGAGGGGGCACAUGAGGUAGUGGGUUACAUUUAGGCUAAAAGGGAUCUCUUCUGUUCAGCCUCCAGGACAUUUUCUGGGCUGUGACAUUAAGGAAAUCAGAGUCAGUUCUUAUAUGUGGCUGAAAGGCAGAAAAUCAGAUUAUAUGUACAUGCAAACAGAAACCUGCAUGUCACAUUAAAUUACUCACAAAUAUCCAUGCAAUGUGAGCAUGUUGUAAAUCUCUGCAACAUACAGUUGCCAUGGCGUGAGGCAUUUCUUGAUAGCGCCAUAUGGCUUUUGUAUAUCUCAGCCAGAGCUUCCCCUGGGCUCAGUGAGUUUGGGAGGGAGAAAGGGAAAAGUUUGUGAAGUGUAAAAUCUCACAUUUUCAAUGAGCAUGCAAAGGAUUGUGGGAUUGACACGGUUGGGGAGGGGCUUUUUUAAUGUAACUCCAGAGAGAUACCAUAGGGGGAUGACAAGAUAGAGCAGAGAGCUGAGAGAGAGGAACGUUGCAGAAAAAUAAGAGGAUGAGAUAGAGGUGAGAAUAAAGUGCAGUUGAGAGGAAACAUGAGAAACAGACAACAAAUGCAGCGAAUGUGAGGAAAAGCAGCAGUGUAGGGAGAAUGUUAGUUCCAGAGAGGUUAAAGAGAGUCACAGAGAGUUGAACUGCAUUUAAACAACUCUCCCCACCUCAGCUGUGGAACUGACACGCUGACACUUGGCUGCCUAUUGACAUGGUAAAUUGAGGGCCCGAUCGAGCAGCACUGUGACAGCCAGAGGAGGCCAUAUAGACCCUGUCAGAGCUGUAUAUUCACAGGGCACUGUUAUAAUACACAUCAGGGGACACAGCAGGAGAGGAGAGAGAGACUGUGGAAUGUGCACACAGAAGUAUGCAACAGAAGGUGGACCGUAUGGAGCACAAGUCUUCUCCCUCAGACUCAAGGUCAACCUAUUACUGCUGAAGGAGAGGAGUGGAAGGGGUCAUUUACUUUACACGUGUCUCAGAUCCUGCCCUGGACUAAUUAUCGGACUGUCCUCAUUCAAAGCUUUGUUGUUGCACUAAGCUCAACGAAUCAAUGAAAUUCCAUUUGAGCAUCUGUUGCCCACAACGACCACUCCUAAAGGAAGGCCCUAAUACUAAUUUACUGUUGUCCUCUCACAAGGACACUUUUCUUUGUUUCAGAAUAAUACACAGUCAGUAAUGAGCACUAAAUAAACCAUUAAUCCUCUCAGGACUUUCUUCUAUAUACGAAGUCAGGCUUUGUGCACAUAGACUGCUUUCAACUAAGAUGGUAAUUGAGUUUAGCAUGUGUGUGUAAUGGUGAAAAAUGAUGAUGUCCGUGUCCCAUUUUGUGAUUUUUCUUCUUCGCCCACAUUGUAUCGUUGAAUAUAAUUAGCUAAAAUUAACUCACAAUACAGCUCAGGCAGU